GGGUAACCUGCCCAAGAGAUCGGGAUAACACCUGGAAACAGAUGCUAAUACCGGAUAACAACAGAUGAUGCCUAUCAACUGUUUAAAAGAUGGUUCUGCUAUCACUCUUGGAUGGACCUGCGGUGCAUUAGCUAGUUGGUAGGGUAACGGCCUACCAAGGCGAUGAUGCAUAGCCGAGUUGAGAGACUGAUCGGCCACAUUGGGACUGAGACACGGCCCAAACUCCUACGGGAGGCAGCAGGG
rnacentral:rRNA from 1 species